GGUAAUGUGGCUGAGAUAAAGGCGGUAAAUUGUAAAUUUAUUAACGAAUUUGUAUUCCGUUACCA
rnacentral:tRNA from 1 species